ensembl:lncRNA
AUUUACUGUAUAAAACUCAAUUGUGAUUUCAGAGUCAGACCCCUGGAGGAUGUCUUCAAAAUCUUCUUGAGCAGAUCGAGAACAUCACAGCUCAAGUGCUUCCUUUAAAUACUGUGACAAACAUUUUGAAUACGGUCUUCAACGCUUCAGAGAAGAUUGUAGAGUCAUCAUCAUCUGCAAGCCCAGCUGAACUAGCCUCCUAUGGAAACCGUAUGUUAAAAACUAGUGAGAAACUCAUCUCUGCAUUAGUGAAGCCGACAGACACAAGUGACAGAGUCAGUUUUACUCUUGCUGUUGUAGAGGGUCAAGUCUUCAUGGUUGGACCACAGGUCACCUUAAAUAAAAUCCUUCGACUUGACACGACAAAUUCUUCUGUGGACAUUGAUCUCAUUGGGAUAUCCAAGAACAACAUUGAAAGAUCAGCUGCAGUGGCUUUCAUGAGCUACAACAUGAUGGAGAAUCUACUGAAGCCAGACUUCUUCAACACAUCAAACAACACGAUUAAAACCAUGAUGUCCACUGUGAUCUCAGCUACUCUUCCCAAAACCACCAACACUAAACUCACCAAACCAGUCAACUUCACCCUAAAACACAUCAGAGUGAGACACUGACAUGUGUUUGUCCAACCUGAGAACUGAUGAACAUCUGGAAACAUCUAAUAUUCAGUGUUCUGAUAUUUUCUUCAUCUUUUUCAGGAGUUUGAUCCCAGUGGUUCUCUGUCCUGUGUGUACUGGAAUAUCAGCGAGUGGAUUGUAGAUGGUUGUUCUGUUUUAAAGACCAACAGCAGCUACACUGUGUGUUCCUGUGAUCAUCUGUCCACAUUCGCUCUCAUCAUGCAAACCAGCCACCCACCAGAGGUACAGAACAUUUCCAGUGAACACUGCAGAACAGCACAGAUUUGGCACUCAUGAACUCUGACAUGUUUUCUCAGAGCGACCCACUGAUGGAGCUGUUGAAUGUGGUGUGUGUGAUUGUGGGGCUGGUGUUCUUCAGUUUGGCCCUGUUGACCUUUGCCCUUUGUCAGUGGAGUCCUGGAGUGAAUAAUGUAGCUCGAAUCAACAUCUGCAUCAGUCUUCUGCUGGCUCACCUUCUGUUCCUGCUCACGCAGCAGUUCCUGAGCUUCAUACGGCGUCAGCAGGUGAGAAUGAUGAAGUAGCCCUACAGCUCAGCACAGCCUCACUGAAAAUCAUCAUAACCGUCUCUCAUGGUCUCCAGGUGUUGUGUGCCGUGAUCUCUGGCCUUCUGCACUUCCUCUUUCUCUCCGGC